GACGAACGCUGGCGGCGUGCUUAACACAUGCAAGUCGAACGGAAAGGCCCUGCUUUUGUGGGGUGCUCGAUUGGCGAACGGGUGAGUAAAACGUGAGUAACCUCCCCUUAUCUUUGGGAUAACUUCUGGAAACUGGGGCUCUUACCGGAUAGAAUCUAUUGCUCCACGUGGGGGGUUGGAAAGAUUCGGCGGUGGUGGAUGUACUCGAGGCUUAUCAGCUUGUUGGUGAGGUAGGGGCUUACCAAGGCUUUGACGGGUAGCCGGCCUAGGAGGGUGACCGGCGACAUGGGGACUGAGAGACGGACCAGACGCGUACGGGAGGCAGUGGUGGGGAAUAUUGCACAAUGGGCCGACGCCUGAUGCAGCGAUGUCGCGUGCGGAAUGACGGGUUUCGGGUUGUAAACAGAUUUCGCAUGUGACGAAGAGUUGGUGACGGUAAUGGGUAAAGAAGCCCCGGCUAACUACGUG
rnacentral:rRNA from 1 species